UAGAAGACAUAAUAUUCAUCGAUUAAAUAUCGACAAUUUUUCCCGCUUUUAUUUAAAUAUAUGCUUCAUUAAUAAGAACAAAAACUGUUAAAUGACUGAAACGGACCUUAGUUAGUAUAAGAUUAAAAUAUUAAAACACAGUAAUCACAAAUGUAACACAGUAGCGAUCACUCCAAAUAAUGGAUAGAAAGUAUUCACUUUACACUGAUGACACGAAACAAAAUACACUAAACACUUAGCCACGAGUUAAAAAUAAGAGUUGGAAAACGUCAACUGGAAAGCGGAACGGAAAUGCCAGUUAGGAUGGGUAGCUAAUCAUUAUACUAAAAGGCUCUACUUGUUCUUUCCAUUCUCAGCCGGCAAAGUGUGCGCAUCGGGCAUAUCGAUACAUUUAGCCCAAUAAAGUUAAUUAGUGGAAAGAUUUAAUACAAGUUCCAGAAGAUAGCCUUGAAUCAAGACCCAGAAAUCUUGUGCAUAAAAUCCAACAAAGCACCAUUUGGUCAGAGGCAAAUGGGCCAGUGAUCCGAAAAGCAAUUCGAUCCUUUCGGCCCUGAAGAAUCAGAGAGUUGCAACCGAGAAGUUCCGCAGAGGCUCCAGGUUGGCUUAGGCAAGCCAGUGAGCCUUCUCGUUUAACGCUACCGUUGGUCUGUUGAGGAGCCUGUGAACCAGCACGAGGUGCUGACCCGCGGGCACCAUCCAGAGCAACCAAGAAGGAUUGAUCUUCACCACGAGGUUCUGGAGGGCACCGUUCGAUCCCUUCAAACGGGCUCGUGAAACUUCGAACGUGUACCCUUCAGUUCCGUCGGUCCAUUGGUGACCUCAGCUUCGAAACUAGGUCCCGGAGUUCAUCCAGUUGACACCCCGAACAUUCGAACCAACACCUGAACCACCAUAGACCAUCCAUCGCCGGCCGGCCCAGCAUCAGCAGCAGCAGGAGCAGAAACACACACCACACCCACACACGACACACACGUAAGUUUUUGUAAAAUAUACAGGACAUGAAAAUUUUA